AAAAAAAGUGUUUGAAUGUGUGAUUUUUGUAUUCUUGCUGAAUCUCCAGCUGUAUAACCCAGAAGACAAAGGCUGCGGCUAAUGAUGGCAUCAGUCACUGAAACGGAGAUAAAGAAGAGCUCCUGAAGUGAUUGACGGGAAGUGGUCAACCCUAGCAGACACUGAAUCGGCCGGUCACUCCAAUAGGGAACAACAAAAAGAUGUUUCUGUCAGGGAGUGAUACAAGCUUCAGACUCACAUAUACCAUAAGGAGAACACAGGGCAGCUUCAGCACUGGCAGGUUUUAAAGUGUGUAAUGUGCCUUUUGGGAGAAUCUCCUGGCCUUGACAGGCAACCAAGUGGUAUGAGGGGAUUUGCUUUGCAUUGAAGAAAUGAAUGCUGAUCACCCCCUGAGCCACCAG